UAAGGAAUAUUGGUCAAUGGACGCAAGUCUGAACCAGCCAUGCCGCGUGAAGGAAGACGGCCCUACGGGUUGUAAACUUCUUUUGUACGGGAAAAAACCACCGGUCGUGAACCGGUGCUGAUGGUACCGUAAGAAUAAGCAUCGGCUAACUCCGUGCCAGCAGCCGCGGUAAUACGGAGGAUGCAAGCGUUAUCCGGAUUCAUUGGGUUUAAAGGGUGCGCAGGCGGAAUGAUAAGUCAGUGGUGAAAUCCUACGGCUCAACUGUAGAACUGCCAUUGAUACUGUUGUUCUUGAGUACACUUGGAGUGGGCGGAAUGUGUCAUGUAGCGGUGAAAUGCUUAGAUAUGACACAGAACACCGAUCGCGAAGGCAGCUCACUAAGUUGUAACUGACGCUCAGG
rnacentral:rRNA from 1 species